rnacentral:rRNA from 1 species
GACAGAGGGUGCAAACGUUGUUCGGAAUUACUGGGCGUAAAGCGAGUGUAGGCGGGAAGGUAAGUCAGAUGUGAAAGCCCGGGGCUCAACCUCGGAAGUGCAUUUGAUACUGCUUUUCUAGAGUACUGGAGAGGUUGGUAGAAUUCUUAGUGUAGAGGUGAAAUUCGUAGAUAUUAAGAGGAAUACCUGUGGCGAAGGCGGCCAACUGGACAGUGACUGACGCUGAGACUCGAAAGUGUGGGGAGCAAACAGG